rnacentral:rRNA from 1 species
GUUUGAUCCUGGCUCAGGACGAACGCUGGCGGCGUGCCUAACACAUGCAAGUCGAGCGGGAUAUACCGGUUUAGUUUACUAAGCUGGUAAAUUCAGCGGCGGACGGGUGAGUAACGCGUGAGCAAUCUGCCUUGUACAGGGGGAUAACAGCCGGAAACGGCUGCUAAUACCGCAUAAGGCCACAGUACCGCAUGGUACAGGGGUCAAAGGAGAGAUCCGGUAUAAGAUGAGCUCGCGUUCCAUUAGCUGGUUGGUGAGGUAACGGCCCACCAAGGCAACGAUGGGUAGCCGGCCUGAGAGGGUGAACGGCCACAUUGGGACUGAGACACGGCCCAAACUCCUACGGGAGGCAGCAGUGGGGGAUAUUGCGCAAUGGGGGGAACCUGACGCAGCAACGCCGCGUGAGUGAAGGAGGCCUUCGGGUCGUAAAACUCUGUGACAGGGGAAGAAGAAAGUGACGGUACCCUGAGAGGAAGCCCCGGCUAACUACGUGCCAGCAGCCGCGGUAACACGUAGGGGGCAAGCGUUGUCCGGAAUUACUGGGCGUAAAGGGUGCGUAGGCGGCCAGGCAAGUCCGAUGUGAAAGACCACGGCUAAACUGUGGGGGUGCAUAGGAAACUGUCCGGCUUGAGUGCAGGAGAGGAAAGUGGAAUUCCUAGUGUAGCGGUGAAAUGCGUAGAGAUUAGGAAGAACACCAGUGGCGAAGGCGACUUUCUGGACUGUAACUGACGCUGAGGCACGAAAGCGUGGGGAGCGAACAGGAUUAGAUACCCUGGUAGUCCACGCCGUAAACGAUGGAUACUAGGUUGUAGGGGGUAUCGACCCCCCCUGUGCCGGAGUUAACGCAAUAAGUAUCCCGCCUGGGGAGUACGGCCGCAAGGUUGAAACUCAAAGGAAUUGACGGGGGCCCGCACAAGCAGCGGAGCAUGUGGUUUAAUUCGAAGCAACGCGAAGAACCUUACCAGGGCUUGACAUCCCUCCGACGGGCAUAGAGAUAUGCCGUUUCAGCAAUGGACGGGGGAGACAGGUGGUGCAUGGUUGUCGUCAGCUCGUGUCGUGAGAUGUUGGGUUAAGUCCCGCAACGAGCGCAACCCUUAUCAACAGUUACCAGCAAGUAAAGUGGGGACUCUGAAGAGACCUGCCGGGGAGAAACCUCGGAGGAAGGGUGGGGAAUGAACGUCAAAUCAUCAUGCCCCUUAUGUCCUGGGCUACACACGUGCUACAAUGGCCUGAAACAAAGGGAAGCGAAGGCGCAAGCCGGAGCGGAACCCAGAAAGCAGGUCUCAGUUCGGAUUGUGGGCUGCAACCCGCCCACAUGAAGUCGGAGUUGCUAGUAAUCGCGAAUCAGCAUGUCGCGGUGAAUGCGUUCCCGGGCCUUGUACACACCGCCCGUC